AGUGAACGCUGGCGGUAGGCCUAACACAUGCAAGUCGAACGGCAGCACAGUAAGAGCUUGCUCUUACGGGUGGCGAGUGGCGGACGGGUGAGGAAUACAUCGGAAUCUACUUUUUCGUGGGGGAUAACGUAGGGAAACUUACGCUAAUACCGCAUACGACCUACGGGUGAAAGCAGGGGAUCUUCGGACCUUGCGCGAUUGAAUGAGCCGAUGUCGGAUUAGCUAGUUGGCGGGGUAAAGGCCCACCAAGGCGACGAUCCGUAGCUGGUCUGAGAGGAUGAUCAGCCACACUGGAACGGAGACACGGUCCAGACUCCUACGGGAGGCAGCAGUGGGGAAUAUUGGACAAUGGGCGCAAGCCUGAUCCAGCCAUACCGCGUAGGUGAAGAAGGCCUUCGGGUUGUAAAGCCCUUUUGUUGGGAAAGAAAAGCAGCAGGUUAAUACCCCGCUGUUCUGACGGUACCCAAAGAAUAAGCACCGGCUAACUUCGUG
rnacentral:rRNA from 1 species